AUCCAGAAUGAGGGAUGUAACAGGAGAAAUAUCCCAGUAGUGUGGGAAAGCUAAUUAGGGGUUUGUACCCAUGGGAACUAUGGGAUAAAACUUCUAAAAUGUGGUGAUACUGAACAGUUGCUCUGAAUUGAUGUCUCCUUUGGAUUCUCCCUAAAGAUAAGCAUGAAGCUUAGAGCCCAGCCACCCUCAAAAAAUUGAUUAAAUUGGACAGAACUCUGCUUUAAAAUCAAACAGAGGUGAAUCCAAAUCUUGCAUACUCCAUCUAUCAUCUUUAUAUGCUUCGAGUGCACUCGUGAAAGCAUCAAGGAAAGCAACAACAACACAGGAGGUGGGAAAGGACCCAACCUUUGCCUGAACAACAGUCACUCUUACAAGGAAAUCAGAAAAUCGUUCUUAAUUCUUUUCUCAUUGGUAACCAGGAUUUUGCCUUUCUCAAGCACUUAGGAGUUCUUCUGCACUGAAUGCUGACACAAUAUCUAGAACUACAGCAGCCAUCUUGAGAUAAAUGAAGGAAACCUAAAAACACCAAGAGACGCAUAAUAAAUGCCAACAGCUUGUAGAAAGUAGAAUUAAGGCUCAUAUACAACCAAGACUACUUUAUCUGACAACACUGUGCUUCAAAAAUGAAGGAGAAAUAAAGAAUACCCCAGAAGUGUUUACAAAUGCUGAGAAAGUACAUUACCACCAGAUUUGCAUUACAAGAAAUGCUGAAGAGAGUUCGUCAAGAUGAAAGAACACUAAAGAACAUCAUAAAAGCAUAAGAAAGUGAAAGUUUAUUGGUAAUAACAAACAUAUACACAAAUGCAGAAUAUUGCUAUAACAGCACUGCACAAGUCAAUUUUAUUCUAAUACAGAAGAUGAGAAAAGUAUAAAAAUAACUAUAACUUAGGCAUAGGUUAAUGGAUACACAAUAGAAGAUGUAAUUUGUGAUGUCCAUAACAUAAUUUGGGGGCAAAAUAAAAGAGUAGGGUUUUUGUGUACAAUUCAAGUUAAGUUGUUAUCAGCUUUAAAAAUAUAUAUAUAUAUGUUAGAUGUUUUAUGUAAGCCAAAUGGUAACUGUUAUAAAAAUUAAUGUUUGUGCCUCCCCCCAAAUUCAUGCUGAAGACCCAAUAUCAUGGUAUUUGGAAGUGGCGCUUUGGGGAGGUAAUGAGAUCAAGAAUAUGUAGCCUUUGUGAAUAGGAUUAGUGUUCUUAUGAGAGAGAUGAGAGACAAAUAAGAGAGACGAUUUUACUUUGUCUCAUGAGGAUAUAUCAGGAAGGCAACUGACUAUAAAUCAGAAUGAGGGCCCUCAGCAAGAACCCAGCCAUGGUGACACCCGAUCUCAGAUUUUUAGCCCUAGAAUGGAGAUAAAUAAAUAUUUGUUGCUUAAGCUUCCCAGUCUAUGAUAGUUUACUAUAACAGGUAAGACAGUAACAUCAAAGAAAAUACUGAUAGAAGAUGCAUAAAAGAAAAUGAUAAAGGAAUCAAAGCAUGUCACUAAAAAAAAAAAAAAGGAAACACAAAAGACAAAAAGAGGAAAAAAACAAAAAAGCUACAAGACAGACAGAAAACAACAAAAUGGCUAUAGUAAGUCCCUCCCUGUCAGCAAUUGCUUUAAGUGUAGAUGGAUAGAACCACCCAAUGAAAAGAGGAACGCAAUGAAUUUUUAAAAUCCAACGAUACAUUGCUUACAAGAGAUUUACUUUAAAGACACAUGUAUUGAGAACAUUUGUAUGUAGAAUGUAAAAAAAAUAAGAACACACAUAGACUGAAAGUGAAAGCGUAGAAGAAAGGUACAGUAUGCAAAUGGUAGCCAAAAGGGAGCAGGGGUGGCCAUACUUAUACCAGACUAAAUGGACUAUAAACUUUAAGUCAAAAACUCUCACAAGAAAUAAAGAAGACAUUUAUGUAUAUAUAUUUACAUAUAUGUGUGUAUAUAUAUACAUAUAUACAUAUAUAUACAUACACACACAUACACAUAUACAUAUAUAUAAAAGGUUUAUUCACCAGGAAGAUAAAUUAUAUAUAUAUGUAUAUAUAUAUGUGUGUGUGUGUGUGUGUGUGUGUGUGUCUGUGUACCCUAUAAGAGAGCACCCAAAUAUAUGGAAAAAACAUUGACAUAAAUGAAGGGAAAAAUAGACAGUGAUAAAAUAAUAAUAGGAGACUUUAAUGCUCCAUUUUCAAUAAUGGAUGGAACAUUUGUAUAGACUAUAAAUAAACGGAGAACAUGAACAAUAUAUAGAUCAAAUGGACCUAACAGACAUAUACAGAACAUUUCACCCAACAGCAAUAGAAUACACAUUCUUCUCAAGUACACAUGAAACAUUUUUCAAGAUAGAGCACAUUUGAGGUUACAAAACAAGUCUUAAAAGAUUCAGGAGAUUUAAAUUAUACCACGUACUUUUCUAACCAUAAUAGAAUGAAACUAGAAGUAAAUAGCGGAAGAAAAAUUGGAAGCUUCACAAAUAUUUGGUAAUUAAACAUUAUUGAACGAGGAGUGAUUCAAAGAAGGAAUCAAAAGUGAAAUUAGAAAACAUUUUGAAGCAAAUGAAAAAAAAAACUUGCCAAAAUAUA